UGCCAGCCGCCGCGGUAAUACGUAGGGGGCAAGCGUUAUCCGGAUUUACUGGGUGUAAAGGGUACGUAGGCGGCCCAUUAAGUCAGAUGUGAAAGCCCGAGGCUCAACCUCGGGACUGCAUUUGAAACUGGUGGGCUAGAGUACAGGAGAGGAAAGCGGAAUUCCUAGUGUAGCGGUGAAAUGCGUAGAUAUUAGGAAGAACACCAGUGGCGAAGGCGGCUUUCUGGACUGUAACUGACGCUGAGGUACGAAAGCGUGGGGAGCGAACAGGAUUAGAAACCCCCGUAGUCC
rnacentral:rRNA from 1 species